CUACGAGAGGCUGCAGUCGAGAAUCUUCCGCAAUGGACGAAAGUCUGACGGAGCGACGCCGCGUGCGGGAUGAAGGCCUUCGGGUUGUAAACCGCUGUCAGUGGGGAGGAAAUGCAUCAGGGUUCUCCCUGGUGUUUGACCGAUCCGCAGAGGAAGCGCAGGCUAAGUUCGUGCCAGCAGCCGCGGUAACACGAACUGCGCGAACGUUAUUCGGAAUCACUGGGCUUAAAGAGUUCGUAGGCGGCCUUUCAAGUCGGGUGUGAAAGCCCUCGGCUCAACCGAGGAAUUGCGCCUGAUACUGUUGGGCUUGAGGGGGAUAGGGGUGAGCGGAACUGAUGGUGGAGCGGUGAAAUGCGUUGAUAUCAUCAGGAACACCGGUGGCGAAGGCGGCUCACUGGAUCUCUUCUGACGCUGAGGAACGAAAGCUAGGGGAGCGAACGGGAUUAGAUACCCCCGUAGUC
rnacentral:rRNA from 1 species